rnacentral:rRNA from 1 species
AGUGAACGCUGGCGGUAGGCCUAACACAUGCAAGUCGAACGGCAGCACAGGAGAGCUUGCUCUCUGGGUGGCGAGUGGCGGACGGGUGAGGAAUACAUCGGAAUCUACUUUUUCGUGGGGGAUAACGUAGGGAAACUUACGCUAAUACCGCAUACGACCUACGGGUGAAAGCAGGGGAUCUUCGGACCUUGCGCGAUUGAAUGAGCCGAUGCCGGAUUAGCUAGUUGGAGAGGUAAAGGCCCACCAAGGCGACGAUCCGUAGCUGGACUGAGAGUAUGAUCAGCCACACUGGAACUGAGACACGGCCCAGACUCCUCCGCGAGGCAGCAGUGGAGAAUAUUGGACAAUGGGCGCAAGCCUGAUCCAGCCAUACCGCGUGGGUGAAGAAGGCCUUCGGGUUGUAAAGCCCUUUUGUUGGGAAAGAAAUCCAGCUAGUUAAUACCCGGUUGGGAUGACGGUACCCAAAGAAUAAGCACCGGCUAACUUCGUGCCAGCCGCCGCAGUAA